rnacentral:rRNA from 1 species
AGCUUGCUGGGGGAUUAGUGGCGAACGGGUGAGUAACACGUGAGUAACCUGCCCUUGACUCUGGGAUAAGCCUGGGAAACUGGGUCUAAUACCGGAUACGACCAUCUGGCGCAUGUCAUGGUGGUGGAAAGCUUUUGUGGUUUUGGAUGGACUCGCGGCCUAUCAGCUUGUUGGUGGGGUAAUGGCCUACCAAGGCGACGACGGGUAGCCGGCCUGAGAGGGUGACCGGCCACACUGGGACUGAGACACGGCCCAGACUCCUACGGGAGGCAGCAGUGGGGAAUAUUGCACAAUGGGCGCAAGCCUGAUGCAGCGACGCCGCGUGAGGGAUGACGGCCUUCGGGUUGUAAACCUCUUUCAGUAGGGAAGAAGCGAAAGUGACGGUACCUGCAGAAGAAGCGCCGGCUAACUACGUGCCAGCAGCCGCGGUAAUACGUAGGGCGCAAGCGUUAUCCGGAAUUAUUGGGCGUAAAGAGCUCGUAGGCGGUUUGUCGCGUCUGCUGUGAAAGACCGGGGCUCAACUCCGGUUCUGCAGUGGGUACGGGCAGACUAGAGUGCAGUAGGGGAGACUGGAAUUCCUGGUGUAGCGGUGAAAUGCGCAGAUAUCAGGAGGAACACCGAUGGCGAAGGCAGGUCUCUGGGCUGUAACUGACGCUGAGGAGCGAAAGCAUGGGGAGCGAACAGGAUUAGAUACCCUGGUAGUCCAUGCCGUAAACGUUGGGCACUAGGUGUGGGGGACAUUCCACGUUUUCCGCGCCGUAGCUAACGCAUUAAGUGC